rnacentral:rRNA from 1 species
GGAUUAGAUACCCUGGUAGUCCACGCCGUAAACGAUGUCUACUAGCCGUUGGGAUCCUUGAGAUCUUAGUGGCGCAGCUAACGCACUAAGUAGACCGCCUGGGGAGUACGGUCGCAAGAUUAAAACUCAAAUGAAUUGACGGGGGCCCGCACAAGCGGUGGAGCAUGUGGUUUAAUUCGAAGCAACGCGAAGAACCUUACCAGGUCUUGACAUCCAGAGAACUUACUAGAGAUAGUUUGGUGCCUUCGGGAACUCUGUGACAGGUGCUGCAUGGCUGUCGUCAGCUCGUGCCG